rnacentral:rRNA from 1 species
UACAGAGGUCUCGAGCGUUAGGCGGAAUCACUGGGCUUAAAGCGUGUGUAGGCGGACUGGUAAGUACCUUGUGAAAUCCCACGGCUCAACCGUGGAACUGCUGGGUAUACUGCUUGUCUUGUGCAACCUAGGGGCGAGCGGAACAGAUGGUGGAGCGGUGAAAUGCGUAGAUAUCAUCUGGAACGCCAAUGGUGAAAACAGCUCGCUGGGGGUUUGCAGACGCUGAGACACGAAAGCCAGGGGAGCGAACGGG